AGAUGAUGAUGAAAGUUUAUAUCGCGGUCGUAUAGAACCAGUACCAGAAAAACCAGGAAGGCGGUGGAGUAGUCCAUAUGAGAUUCCAAACAUGUGAGGAGAGAAACAAUAGGAGAGAGAGGGACAGGAGAAGAAGAAGAAGAAGAAGAAGAAGAAGAAGAAGAAGGGAUGAGUGGAAUAUAGAGAGAUGAUUGGACGGCUGGUAGAGAAGAGAGAGCCUUUGUAUUGAGGAGACGGCUCUAGAGAUAAAAGAAAGAUUGAGUAGUUUAGAGAGAAGAAACGAGAGCAACAUGAACUAGAAUGAUCAUGUUAUUGCAUUACUGAUUUAACAUGCAUUCAUAUUCAUGUUUUACAUGUCAACAAUGUCAAUAUUAUAUGAACUACUGAAGGGUGUGAAAACUCAUACAUCACUGAUCCUCUGAAGAGAAUCUUUUAUCUGUAGUUCACAGGUAGAUUUGUAGUCAUUACAGGUAACGUCUGAUACAUGCUGGAUGUAUAACAUGUUGGAUAUUAAAGUACAGAAUAACUUGCAUAAGAACUACCAGGUAUGUACAGAAGUACUUGGUGCUACAGUACAAUAAUUACUCAGAGUUCAGUGUGUAAUUAUGUAAUAUUCAUAAAUAAUACUUGGUGAAUACCCUGCAAGAUGAAUAUAUAAGUACUUGGAGGCUAACAAGAGAAAUUGCAGUAUGCAUAAAUAUAAUUUGAAUAAAGAUAGGUUGUUUUAUUUUUCUUUAUUUAUUUCAUAUUUUUUCUUUAUUUUUAGAUAUUUUCUGUCUAUUUUAGUUACUUUUUCCUCAUGUUAAAUUGCAGAGCGCACCAUUGACUAAUCACAUAGCAUAUGUCUCCUUCAAUUAGGUGUUUCCUGACUUGUUUCCCGGUUCUUUUCCCUAGUGAGGGCACAAACAGCUACUUUUGUGGGUUUACAACACGAUGUCUAUUGUCCCCAGUAUAGGCACAAACAGCCACUUGUAUACCUCACAACAGGAUGCAUGUUGUCCUGACAUAAUCCUUAAAGAGGACCUGUUAUGCUUUUCUGUUUUUUCUCUUUCCUUUAGUGUGUUGUAUCUUUUUGUGCAUGUAAA